GACGGAGGAUGCAAGUGUUAUCCGGAAUCACUGGGCGUAAAGCGUCUGUAGGUGGUUUAAAAAGUCUACUGUUAAAGCUUGAAGCUUAACUUCAAAAAUGCCGUAGAAACUUUUAAACUUGAGUAUGGUAGGGGUAGAGGGAAUUCCAGUGGAGCGGUGAAAUGCGUAGAUCUUGGAAAGACCACCAAUGGCGAAGGCACUCUACUGGGCCAUUACUGACACUAAGAGACGAAAGCUAGGGGAGCAAAUGGG
rnacentral:rRNA from 1 species